UACAGAGGGUGCUAGCGUUGUUCGGAAUCAUUGGGCGUAAAGGGCGUGUAGGCGGUUUGUUAAGUCAUGAGUGAAAUCCCUCGGCUCAACCGGGGAACGACGCAUGAAACUGGCAAGCUAGAGUACCAAAGAGGGGGGUGGAAUUCCCGGUGUAGCGGUGAAAUGCGUAGAUAUCGGGAGGAACAUCAGUGGCGAAAGCGACUUCCUGGACCAGUACCGACGUUCAGGCACGAAAGCGUGGGGAGCAAACAGG
rnacentral:rRNA from 1 species